UACGUAGGGUCCAAGCGUUGUCCGGAAUUAUUGGGCGUAAAGAGCUCGUAGGCGGUGUGUCACGUCUGCUGUGAAAUCCCGAGGCUCAACCUCGGGCCUGCAGUGGGUACGGGCAGACUGGAGUGCGGUAGGGGAGAAUGGAAUUCCUGGUGUAGCGGUGAAAUGCGCAGAUAUCAGGAGGAACACCAAUGGCGAAGGCAGCACUCUGGGACGUGACUGACGCUGAGACGCGAAAGCGUGGGGAGCAAACAGG
rnacentral:rRNA from 1 species